rnacentral:lncRNA from 1 species
UGGUGUCAAGUAUAAAUGGAUAAUGUGCACUAAGGUCUGCUGUAGUUUGUCGACUAAGAAAACAAAAUCAAAAUCAAACCAAUGUUCAGAAAUACUUAAACGAAUUUUACUAUGUAGUAAGUGUUCGUCCUAGUGUUUAAGAAGGCUCCCUUGUACGGACUCCUAGGCCUCGUUCUCCGCUUCACUUUCAGACACCGACAUGGAUUUAGCUUGCCUGCAUCGCUGCUUAGUUCCUCUCUCAUUCCUCACCUAGUCUAUCCUCAUUGUCUCGUUUUUGUUUCAUGUUGUCAUUUGGUUUCAUCAAUGUUGUCUUGUUCGUUCGCUGCCGUCCAUUUCGCCAUCACCGCCUACUACUCAGUCCAUCUCGCUGUCGGCGGCCUCUACUGUUCACCUCGUCGUCACUGUCUCUCCCUCUCCUCUCAUUCGCUGUCUCUCCCGCUCCCCCCUAUUGCUGUCCAUCCUACUCCGUUCUCGGCGCCGCUCCUCUAUGUGCAACUUGAAAUGCCAGAUCUCCUCAGCAGGAGUGCGGACUCGCCAGAUUUAUUUGUUCCUUAGUCUCCGAUGCACCUCCACCACUCCAUGUUGCCUCAGAUCCCUUCACCUACAUCCCAAAUCCACUUGGCUGCUGCUCAAUCAUAUCCGCCCCUGCUGCUGCAUAUCCGCCCCGUUCCGAUUCAGACCCCUUCACCUCCGUUGCGUACUCACGCCUCUCUGGACGAGGAGGCGUCUGUACGUUGUGCCUCAUUUUGUCUUCUUCAUAUC